rnacentral:rRNA from 1 species
AUGAAAACUAGCACGGCGCCUGGGCCGGACGGAUGGCCGGUCGAGUUCUUCAAGAAGUUUUGGCCCUGCCAUAAGCACCUGUUCUAUGACAUUGUCAACAGCUUCGCUUUAGGCAUAGUUGACCUAUCCCGUUUGAAUUAUGGAGCCAUUAGCCUUAUUCCCAAGGUGAAAGGGGCGGACAACGUUAAGCUUUUUAGACCCAUUACCUUGAUUAACGUCCCCUUUAAAAUUUGUGCGAAAGCUUAUGCCUCGCGCUUGGCUCUGGUAGCUCAAAGGGUUAUUAGUUCUAGUCAAACAGGUUUUCUCAAACGUCGUAACAUUCUCGAGGGACCAAUUGCGUUACAAGAGAUCGUUCACGAGCUGAAACGGACCAAGGCACAGGGAGUGCUGCUUAAAUUAGACUUCGAGAAAGCGUAUGAUCGCGUGAACUGGGAGUUCGUGCGGGAGGUCUUCCUCAAAAAGGGUUUUGAGGCAGGAUUCGUACAUCGCAUCAUGCACCUCGUGUGUAGUGGGCACACGGCGGUCAAUGUCAAUGGCACAAUGGGUAAGUUUUUCCGUAAAAAAACGGGGGCUACGUCAGGGAGACCCAAGCUCGCCACUCAUUUUUAA